CCCCAUCUUCCUUGCACCUUGAAUAAAAGAAGAAGCUUUUAUAACCUGAAUCCCUCACCCUCCCACCACAGACUUCAGAGGAGGCUGGUGAUGGAUGUGC